ACGGAGGGUGCAAGCGUUGUCCGGAAUCACUGGGUGUAAAGGGUGUGUAGGCGGGAUUGUAAGUCAGAGGUGAAAUCCUACAGCUCAACUGUAGAACUGCCUUUGAUACUGCAAUUCUUGAGUUUCGGAGAGGUCAUUAGAAUUCGUGGUGUAGCGGUGAAAUGCGUAGAUAUCACGAGGAAUACCAGAGGCGUAGGCGGAUGACUGGACGAAUACUGACGCUGAGGCACGAAAGCGUGGGGAGCAAACAGG
rnacentral:rRNA from 1 species